rnacentral:rRNA from 1 species
AGAGUUUGAUCCUGGCUCAGAAUCAACGCUGGCGGCGUGCCUAACACAUGCAAGUCGAACGCGAAAGUCCCGCAAGGGAUAAGUAGAGUGGCAAACGGGUGAGUAACACAUGGGUGACCUGCCUUCGAGCGGGGGAUAACGUCCCGAAAGGGACGCUAAUACCGCAUAACAUCCUGCCUUUGAAGAGGUGGAGAUCAAAGCUGGGGAUCGCAAGACCCGGCACUUGAAGAGGGGCCCGCGUCUGAUUAGCUAGUUGGUGGGGUAAUGGCCUACCAAGGCAACGAUCAGUAUCCGGCCUGAGAGGGCGGACGGACACACUGGGACUGAGACACGGCCCAGACUCCUACGGGAGGCAGCAGUGGGGAAUUGUUCGCAAUGGGCGCAAGCCUGACGACGCAACGCCGCGUGGAGGAUGAAGAUUUUCGGAUCGUAAACUCCUGUCGAAUGGGACGAAAAAAUUGCGGGUUAACAGCCCGUGGUUCUGACGGUACCGUAAAGA